rnacentral:rRNA from 1 species
GAUGAACGCUGGCGGCGUGCCUAAUACAUGCAAGUCGAGCGAACAGACGAGGAGCUUGCUCCUCUGACGUUAGCGGCGGACGGGUGAGUAACACGUGGAUAACCUACCUAUAAGACUGGGAUAACUUCGGGAAACCGGAGCUAAUACCGGAUAAUAUAUUGAACCGCAUGGUUCAAUAGUGAAAGACGGUUUUGCUGUCACUUAUAGAUGGAUCCGCGCCGCAUUAGCUAGUUGGUAAGGUAACGGCUUACCAAGGCAACGAUGCGUAGCCGACCUGAGAGGGUGAUCGGCCACACUGGAACUGAGACACGGUCCAGACUCCUACGGGAGGCAGCAGUAGGGAAUCUUCCGCAAAGGGCGAAAGCCUGACGGAGCAACGCCGCGUGAGUGAUGAUGGUCUUCGGAUCGUAAAACUCUGUUAUUAGGGAAGAACAAAUGUGUAAGUAACUAUGCACGUCUUGACGGUACCUAAUCAGAAAGCCACGGCUAACUACGUG